rnacentral:lncRNA from 1 species
CUGCAGGCACAAAUGAGCUUGGUUUUCAAGCACCAGUCUUUGAACACAAGGAAUUCUUUUAAUGAUCACGCCGGACUAUAUAGACUUUGGAAUCAGACUCUUUGAAUUCCAGCUCUGCCAUUUACCAACUUUGACACUUUGGGGUUUUGGAAAUCUGGAUUGUAGCGGGGCAUUGUAUGUUAAAAAAUCAUCUUCCCAUUCUGAUCUUUGCAAAGAUAUUUCUGUUCCUUAAAUUUGUUGAGGGUAAGACAUUGCAGAUUGCUUCUAUGGACUUCUUGAAGGUAAGUAUUAUCUCUUGAUAUUUGUAUCUUCAGUGUCUGGCACAAUGCUUGGGGGUGAGGAAGAACUCAAUAAAUGUUUGUUGGAUGAAUAAGUAAUAUUUGUGAAAGUGUUUUGUAGACUAUGAAACUGCACAAAUGAAAGAUCACAAGGAUGAUUGCUUAUGAAGCCCAGAAAUUGAAGUGGAACUCCUUUCUUAAUGUAACACACACAUACACAUUACACACAUUUUUUUUUCCUUGAAUAGUGGCUGCAUUUUUUUUAAUGGAACACUGGGCUACUUUUAAAUAUUGAAAUCAAAAUGUACGUGCCCACUUUUUAUUAGCAGUUGCUCCAUUUGCUCUUCCAGCUUUGGCUGGAAAACAUUUAUUUGUAUACUUAGUAUCUCUGUCCUUGGUUACCCCCAUCCCUGCCUUCUCACCCAUCUUUAGUCUGCCAUAUGGUCUUGACAUAGAUUUUCAACUGUUAGACUGUCAGGUUUUCAAGGAUGCAUUUUAA